AACACUUUCAUGGUACUGCAAGUCAUUAAGUUUACUAAGGACCUGCCCGUCUUCCGUUCCCUGCCCAUUGAAGACCAGAUCUCCCUUCUCAAGGGAGCAGCUGUGGAAAUCUGUCACAUCGUACUCAAUACCACUUUCUGUCUCCAAACACAAAACUUUCUCUGCGGGCCUCUUCGCUACACAAUUGAAGACGGAGCCCGUGCUCCCUAUCUUACAGACCGACCUGGAGUUACCCAGAGAGAUGAGAUUGAUCAGCUGCAAGAGGAGAUGGCACUGACUCUGCAAAGCUACAUCAAGGGCCAGCAGCGAAGGCCCCGGGAUCGGUUUCUGUAUGCGAAGUUGCUGGGCCUGCUGGCUGAGCUCCGGAGCAUUAAUGAGGCCUACGGGUACCAAAUCCAGCACAUCCAGGGCCUGUCUGCCAUGAUGCCGCUGCUCCAGGAGAUCUGCAGCUGAGGCCAGGCUCACUUCCUUCCCCAGCUCACCUGGGACACCCUGGAUACACUGGAGUGGGAAAAUGCUGGGACCAAAGAUUGGGCCAGGUUCAAAGGGAGCCCAGUGGUUGCAAUGAAAGACUAAAGCG
rnacentral:sRNA from 1 species